rnacentral:ncRNA from 1 species
AAAGGCUUGGUCCUGACUUUACUAUCAGCUUUAGCCCAGUUCAUACAUGCAAGUAUCCGCACCCCUGUGAGAAUGCCCUAAAUCCUCCAUCCGAGGAUAAGGAGCAGGCAUCAGGCACGAUGUAUUCGGCCCAAGACGCCUUGCUAUGCCACACCCCUAAGGGAAUCCAGCAGUAGUAGACAUUAAGCCAUUAGUGAAAACUUGACUUAGCCAGGACUAAAAGAGUCGGUAAAAUUCGUGCCAGCCACCGCGGUUAUACGAAAGACCCUAGUUGAUAGACACGGCGUAAAGGGUGGUUAGGAGUAAUGAAAAAUAGGGCUAAAGACCUUCUAAGCAGUUAUACGCCUACGAACAUGCGAAAUCCUAUUUUAAACGAAAGUACCCUACCCAAUAUAUCCGACCCCACGAAAGUUGAGAAACACACUGGGAUUAGAUACCCCAUUAUGCUCAACCAUAAACCAAGAUAUUUAUUACUAAUAUAUCCGCCCGGGUACUACAAGCACAGCUUAAAACCCAAAGGACUUGGCGGUGCUUCAGAUCCACCUAGAGGAGCCUGUUCUAGAACCGAUAAUCCCCGUUAAACCUCACCACCUCUUGUUAAUACCGCCUAUAUACCGCCGUCGUCAGCUUACCCUAUGAGGGUAAAAUAGUAAGCAAAAAGGACACACUCCAAAACGUCAGGUCGAGGUGUAGCGUACGAAGUGGGAAGAAAUGGGCUACAUUUUCUAUUACAGAAUAUUACGAAUAGCACUAUGAAAUAUUACGCCUGAAGGAGGAUUUAGUAGUAAAAAGAAAAUAGAGAGUUCUUUUGAAUUAGGCUAUGAAGCGCGCACACACCGCCCGUCACUCUCCCU